GUCUCCGUGGCGCAAUCGGCUAGCGCGUUCGGCUGUUAACCGAAAGGUUGGUGGUUCGAGCCCACCCGGGAACG
rnacentral:tRNA from 1 species